GUGGCGCGGAGGGAGGAUAUAUUCCGCGUUAUAACCUAGUCCUCACAUCGACGAAAACCGCGAGCUAACCAUAGGAGUGAAAGAGAGGCAAACAGGCGGCUAACGCUUUUCGUCGGUACUGUUCUUCAACGCGGUACUCAGAUUAGUUAAGGAAAUACCAGAAAAUAUACCAGAUUUAGCGUGUAAUAAACGCCUCUAUAAGGUCAGUGCACAUAAAAAGGGACGCCUAAUCCAAGCUAUUGCCCAUUAUUGUGGGAAUUGACCCACAGGAAGCAAUACCAUAACAGGCCAAAUCCGCAGAAUAGUGGAAGUGCAGAACCACUAGUAAUCUCUGAAGAGCUCUCCGUCAUAACCACAAGUCUCUUGGCAGCUAAUGCGGAGCUGGAGAACGCGUUGGUUUCUAUGGGGAGGAGGAAAAAAGGAUGCCCGCUAAGGGACAGCUGGAAAAGGCAUUACCAACUAAUGCCAUUAUGCUGGGCGACUUCCUACAGCAUCAGCGUAACAACCCCGUUCCCAAUCCGGCUCCCACUUCCUCAGACGCAGACUCUUCUUUUUUAAAUUGCUGCAAUUGAUACGUUUUUCGUCUGUCAAAAACCCAGCCGCUUGACAGCAAGACCAUGCUACAUCCAUUGCAUGUGAAAUUUGUAAGCUUCGGUCACACUACAAAGAAUAAAAAUUUUCGGCUCCUGAAACUUUUAGCCGACAUGAGUACUGAGCUUAA